CAUUUCCAAUCACAAUAUUUCGCGCCUUUUUAAGGCAGAUUUUCGAACUUUACGCAUUCAGACACAAUAAAAAACCCCCAUAGGUACCGGUACUAAUAUGGAAAUGAAAUGGUAUAAAAAGUACCUUAUCACAACAUUCGCUAUAAAUAAACACUAUCGCAAGAUUGCAACUUCCCAUACCAAGUGAAUAAUGAAAUCCGCGCGUGUUGCUAUUUUUUUUCUCUUUAUAAAAUUAGGAGGAUAACUUUAACGUCUUAAACCCACCCAACAGGGUACUACAUAAAACUACGGGGUAGUUCAUACGUCUUGGUCCCUAACCAUGGAAAAUUCCCACGAACUAUAAACCUGGAGCUAUGCUGUAGUCGGUAGGCCUAAGGGGUAGCUCCAUUCGAUAGGGGAGGUAGCUAUCGUUCCUAUGAAAUAGCUCAUACGGUCCCCCUACCGCCCCUACCAUCAAAAGCUGAUGCUAUAAUUAAACAGUAUCGCAUUAUAGCAAGAUUGCAGCAUCCCGUCCAAACGCGGUUAUUUUCUUUCUAUAAAAACACCAUGACUCCACAUCGCACCGCACGUAGCUUCAACGGCAGCUUCAACCACCUUAAAAUCCUUAACGGCCUCGACCAAAUGGAGAAUUUACAGUUAGGUAUGAAUAACAAUGCUGUCAUCCAAAAAAAAAAUAGGGGCGUUGCCGUCGUCGGUCCUCUUCGACGCAAAUUUUAUGUAAGUAGAGUAAGCGCUUUAAUUGUAAUAAUAAACUUCAAAUCACUAUUUCCGCUGUAAAUAAAAACACCCUACAUUUUGUUUGUUGUUUUUUCCCUGCCCACUCCUGUUCUGGUUAUAGGGAACCUACCUCCGAGAUGGAAUUAUAGGUUAGAAUGAGGGUCCUCGCACCUGUCUCCUGAAAUUACAAUUUCCUACCCUAUACCUAUAUGUCACAUCAAUCUAAUAGAGGGAGUCGAUUGAAAAUAUACCUCUAUAUGCAUUACGACGCCAAUAGAUGGCACCUCCGUACCAUUUAAUAUAUCUAUGAUUUAAUAAUAUUUAGAGGUUCGUUAUAAAUACAACUAUCGAAGCAUUAUAUCAUACAAGUCUAGUUAGCCUAGUGGUUAUGCUAUAGGACUUGUAAUCCGAUGGUUGGCGGUUCGAAUCCGUUCCAUUUAAAAA